rnacentral:rRNA from 1 species
GACGAACGCUGGCGGCGUGCUUAACACAUGCAAGUCGAACGGAAAGGCCUUUUCGGAGGUACUCGAGUGGCGAACGGGUGAGUAACACGUGGGUGAUCUGCCCUGCACUCUGGGAUAAGCCUGGGAAACUGGGUCUGAUACCGGAUAGGACCGCACUUUUGUGUGUGUGGUGGAAAGUUUUUUCGGUGUAGGAUGAGCCCGCGGCCUAUCAGCUUGUUGGUGGGGUAAUGGCCUACCAAGGCGGCGACGGGUAGCCGGACUGAGAGGUUGGUCGGCCACAUUGGGACUGAGAUACGGCCCAGACUCCUACGGGAGGCAGCAGUGGGGAAUAUUGCACAAUGGGCGCAAGCCUGAUGCAGCGACGCCGCGUGGGGGAUGACGGCCUUCGGGUUGUAAACUCCUUUCGCCAGGGACGAAGCGUUUUGUGACGGUACCUGGAGAAGAAGCACCGGCUAACUACGUG